AUUGAACGCUGGCGGCAGGCCUAACACAUGCAAGUCGAACGAGCGGCGGACGGGUGAGUAAUGUAUGGGAAACUGCCUGAUGGAGGGGGAUAACUACUGGAAACGGUGGCUAAUACCGCAUACCAUCAGAUGUACCCAGAUGGGAUUAGCUUGUUGGUGGGGUAACGGCUCACCUAGGCGACGAUCCCUAGCUAGUCUGAGAGGAGGAUCAGCCACACGGGAACUGAGACACGGUCCAGACUCCUACGGGAGGCAGCAGUGGGGAAUAUUGCACAAUGGGCGCAAGCCUGAUGCAGCCAGGCCGCGUGUAUGAAGAAGGCCUUAGGAUGUUAAAGUACUUUCAGCGGGGAGGCGUUACCCGCAGAAGAAGCACCGGCUAACUCCGUGCCAGCCGCCGCGGUAAUUC
rnacentral:rRNA from 1 species